rnacentral:rRNA from 1 species
GCGAACGGGUGAGUAACACGUGGGUAACCUGCCCUGUACUCUGGGAUAAGCCUGGGAAACUAGGUCUAAUACCGGAUAUGACCUGCCUCUGCAUGGGGGUGGGUGGAAAGUUCCGGCGGUACAGGAUGGACCCGCGGCCUAUCAGCUUGUUGGUGGGGUAAUGGCCUACCAAGGCGACGACGGGUAGCCGGCCUGAGAGGGUGACCGGCCACACUGGGACUGAGACACGGCCCAGACUCCUACGGGAGGCAGCAGUGGGGAAUAUUGCACAAUGGGCGAAAGCCUGAUGCAGCGACGCCGCGUGAGGGAUGACGGCCUUCGGGUUGUAAACCUCUUUCAGCAGGGACGAAGCGCAAGUGACGGUACCUGCAGAAGAAGCACCGGCUAACUACGUGCCAGCAGCCGCGGUAAUACGUAGGGUGCGAGCGUUGUCCGGAAUUAUUGGGCGUAAAGAGCUCGUAGGCGGUUUGUUGCGUCGGCUGUGAAAACUUCACGCUUAACGUGGAGCCUGCAGUCGAUACGGGCAGACUUGAGUUCGGCAGGGGAGACUGGAAUUCCUGGUGUAGCGGUGAAAUGCGCAGAUAUCAGGAGGAACACCGGUGGCGAAGGCGGGUCUCUGGGCCGAUACUGACGCUGAGGAG